rnacentral:lncRNA from 1 species
AGAAUAAUAAACCAAGCUCAUGCAAUAGACAAUCUGCUUCUAUAAUGUGCUAACAUUUCUGUGUUGUGGCACGCAGUAUAUAUUCUAAUCUCAUUACUUAUGUGGAUUUCUUCCAUAGACCUCUCUUACUGUAUUCCCCAAUGUUUAUUGUAAUUUUCUGAAGAAAAAGUCCAUCUGCUACUUCAUUGAAUCAACAGACAUUAAUAGAGUCCUUAUUAAGUGCCAAGCAAGUGCUGUGCCAGACUCUGAAGUUGCAAAGAUUUGAGUGUUUCUGCUAUUUCCUCCAUUACCAUCACUAAAGAAAAUGCUGCUGCUGCCUCUCAUAAAAAUGAGGAUAACGCUGGAUAACAUUUAUUGAGUGCUUACCUCCUCCCAGACAUGAGCAGCUGUUUGCAACCAGUAACGUCCACCAUGCCCUUCUUUCCUUGGAGCCAGUCAACUAUGAACCAUAUCCUCUAAAAACUGUGAGGCAAAAUUAACCUCUGCUUCAAUUGAUGUCAGGCAUUUUGUCCCAGUGAAGAGAAAGUGACUAAUACUUGAAAAAUAAAAAGAAGGCAUGCUGCUUGAACCAGUUUUUUUUUUAUUAAUUGUAAUAAACUCCAUAGGACCAAUUUUAUUUUCUCACAUGUUGGAGUGAUUAUUUUGGCAUUUUCAGUUCAAAAAUUUCUAUGCCAUUUUCCCCCAUCUGUAAGAAUCAGUUGUUACAGAAUAUUUAAAUAUUUCUGAAAUUAGCACAUACUUCAUAUCUUGAAG